UACGUAGGGUGCAAACGUUGUUCGGAAUCACUGGGCAUAAAGAGCGCGUAGGCGGUCUGAUAAGUCUUGUGUGAAAGCCCCCGGCUCAACCGGGGAAUUGCACUGGAUACUGUCGGGCUAGAGUACAGGAGGGGAGAGCGGAAUUCCUGGUGGAGCGGUGAAAUGCGUAGAUAUCAGGAGGAACGCCAGUGGCGAAAGCGGCUCUCUGGUCUGUUACUGACGCUGAGGUGCGAAAGCUAGGGGAGCAAACGGG
rnacentral:rRNA from 1 species